CAUUGGUGCCGCUUCCCAUCCCCCAGCGUUCCGCUUGGUGAUUCAUUUCUCCAAGCAGCCAAUCGGAAUGCUCAGCGUCGCCAUUCUAAUUAACAUACCAUUUUGUGCGCUGCCCAUUUAGUCCGGGCUCCGAACAGUUUCUGAUUAUUAUUGUGUUUGAAACCGACGGGGAAGUGCCUGAUCCACCGAAACCCGCUGCCAAGAAGGGCGCCAAGAAAGCUCUGUCCAAACCGGCGAGCAAGUCUGGCAAGAAGCGCAAGAGGUCGAGGAAGGAGAGUUACAAAGUGAUGAAGCAGGUUCACCCCGACACCGGCAUCUCCUCCAAGGCCAUGAGCAUCAUGAAUUCAUUCGUGAACGAUAUCUUCGAGCGCAUCGCGGGUGAGGCUUACCGCCUGGCAGACUACAACAAGCGGUCCACCAUCAGCUCCCGGGAGAUCCAGACCACCGUGCGCCUGCUGCUGCCCGGGGACCUGGCCAAGCACGCCGUGUCCGAAGGGACAAUGGCGGUGACCAAGUACACCAGCUCCAACUGAAGAGAAGUUUACAGACAAAACAAACGGGAAAUUCAAAGGAUCAUUUAAGAGCCACUCACGCUUUCAGUAAAAGAGUUACAAAAUAUUGAGCCAUGGACUUGAGACAGCUGCACCAUAGACCCUGAAAGUGACAUCAGGAAUAUCUUCUCCGCAAGUUACAGUGAGCAUCUGGGUUAAAACUGAUCAACAGCACAAGGAAAAUAUGUGCGAAAGUCUGAGAUGCAUAUUCCCACAUAGCUGUCCAGAACACAGCAGGUAACCGUUUGAAUUUUGUUGAGAAAUCUGUCCGCGACCAAGGCAGUUCAUACUGGAUUGGAAAAUGCAACUAUGGGUGAGAUUUGGGGUAUUGCAAGUUUCUGAGAAAAGAGUGAGUCGGGGAUCGGUGCAGGCUGAGUGAAGGGAGUGGGCAAUGUGUUUAGUUUGGGGACUGACACAGACUGCGAGAGGGGAGUGGGCAGUGAGAUUAGUUUGGGGACUGACGCAGUCUGCGAGAGGGGAGUGGGCAGUGAGAUUAGUUUGGGGACUGACACAGACUGCGAGAGGGGAGUGGGCAGUGAGAUUAGUUUGGGGACUGACACAGUCUGCGAGAGGGGAGUGGGCAGUGAGAUUAGUUUGGGGACUGACGCUGUUUGCUAGAAGGAGUGGGCAUUGAUAUUAGUUUGCGGACUGAUAAGGGCUGUAUGGAGAGCGUGUGCAAUUGGCUUUGUUUGGGGAUUGACAAAGUCUGUUGGUAGAGUGUGUGCAGUUGAAUUAAUGUGGGAACUGACAUGGGCUGUGGGAAGAGAGUGCGAAGUGGGAGUGUUUUGGUGGUUGACACAGAUCUUUAGGGAGAAGGCUAGGUAUUGGGUUUAUCGUGGGGACUCGCGCGGGGUCUUGGAGUGAAAGUGGGAUGUACACGUAUUUUGGGGACUAACACGGGACUGUGGGGAGAGACUGGAGCUGCAGAGCUCUUUUGGGAACUGACCCAGGUUGUGGGAGAGAGUCAGGCAGUGUAGUUUGGACUGACACUGAUCUGUGUGGUGGGAGUGGUGAGUCUGAGUACUUAGGCAGAAAACACAGGCCUGUGGGGAGACAUUGAAGAUGUGGCAGCAUUUUGAGGACUGACAUGGGGCCUUGGGAGAGACUGACGCUGUGGGAAUAUUUUGGGGACUGACAAAGGGCUGCAGGGAGAAAGUGGACCAUUGUGAAAAUUCUGGAUACUGACACAGGGCUGUGCUGGGAAAGUGGGAUUGUGGGAAAUUUUGGGGUGCCGCAGGUCGUUGGCGAGAGUGGGCGUCAGUGAUUUUGGGGACUAACACACGGCUGCCUGCUGAAGGUACGCUGAUAUUGCUUACCCCUUCUUGAUAGGAGAGUGGCCUCGAAUAUCGUGUUCCAAAUGAAGGCUGGAGUCUUCGAAUGCAUUGAAUGUGGAUGGUACCCUGACUUUGAACAUUGCAGUGAGGAUAAGCGUUGCUUCAUCUGCGAGAAGUCGAAGCUUCUGUGCUCAGAUCUUUCUGAAAAGAUCCAGGAUCUCUGUCAACAGUCAAUAGGGUCGACUUAAACAAGUGGCAAAACCGUCUUUAUCUCACCGACUCACAUUACAUCAUCAGCUCUGCCCCUCACCCUUGCCUUAUUAUCUUUCCCUCUAUCGCAAUCUUACCCACCGUCUCGCCCACUCUUCACCUUCGUUCCUCUAAACACUCUCUCUCAUCCCUCUCCACUCCCGCCUCUUCCAUUUCAUUCGCAUUUUCUCCCUCCCGCAUCUCGCCUCCCUUUCCCCGAACUCUUCCUCUUCUAUCCCUGUCUCUCUCUCGAUUCUCUAUUCCCCCUCUACACACUCUCCCAAUCCCUCUCUUUCCCUUUUAUCGAACUCAACUGGCUCUCCCGCUUCUGUCUUCAGCUACUCUCACCUCAAUCAUGCGCGUCAAUGUUCUCGAUACCCCAGUCCUGUGGAAUAAGAGUGCAUGUAUUCGCCUUAUCUGUGCCCCUUGUAGUUUUGUACAGCUCUACAUGGUCACAAAAUAAAGCCUGAAAAUUUCCGACUGCACCAUAACUCAGCUCCUAAAAUCCUGGCAGAAACUUCGGAAUUCUCCCUCUGUAAUCUUUCCAGUUCGUUGAGAUUUUUCUCAGAGCAAGGCAAGCAGAACUAAACUCCAUACUCCAUGUGCGGCCCGACCGACGUCAUUUGCAACUGCAACGUGACCUCCAACUCCCGUACUCAGUGUCCUGACUGAUGAAGGCCAGCGUGUCAAAUGUCCUGUCCACCAGUAUCGCAUCUUCUCUACCGGAUUCACGGUCUGUUUUAUUAUCUGUGACGCAGACCACCUGAGAUUUGUUCUUUUGAAGGAUCAGUGGGGCACUAAUAUGUAAAAUUACCGUCAAAUGCAACAAGCUAAAAAAAUGCCGCAAAAAAUGUGGAGGUGGUGCUCAUACGUUCAAGAAAAUGCUAGCGGAAGGGAAGAAGGUGUUUCUGGUUCAUUGAGAUUUCGGCCUCCUGUUCCUCAUCAACCCUCCUUCCCAGACGACCAUCCUUGUCACCGUCCGCCAAGACUUCCUCUGCAGCCCUCUCCGUUUCCGCCACCGCAUUCUUCUUCCACACUUCUUGACUCUAGCAACCCUCCGUUCACUGCGCUGCGUGCCGUCUUCGUCAUCUCCUCCUUCUCCAACACCUCUCCACGUCUCCCUGAUCUGCUUGAUCCCCUGCAGGUCCACCCCGCUUCCAUUAACCGUCUUCCUCCUUUACACGUCUCCCUCUCACUGUUUAUAUAGAAGUAUGGCGAGGAAGGGGGAGAGGUGACGUCUAGUGUUACACCAACCAGCUCCCUUCAAACGGAUAUUGAUCUCUCGGUUCUGAGCCUU